rnacentral:rRNA from 1 species
AGUGAACGCUGGCGGUAGGCCUAACACAUGCAAGUCGAACGGCAGCACAGUAAGAGCUUGCUCUUACGGGUGGCGAGUGGCGGACGGGUGAGGAAUACAUCGGAAUCUACUUUUUCGUGGGGGAUAACGUAGGGAAACUUACGCUAAUACCGCAUACGACCUACGGGUGAAAGCAGGGGAUCUUCGGACCUUGCGCGAUUGAAUGAGCCGAUGUCGGAUUAGCUAGUUGGCGGGGUAAAGGCCCACCAAGGCGACGAUGCGUAGCUGGUCUGAGAGGAUGAUCAGCCACACUGGAACUGAGACACGGUCCAGACUCCUACGGGAGGCAGCAGUGGGGAAUAUUGGACAAUGGGCGCAAGCCUGAUCCAGCCAUACCGCGUGGGUGAAGAAGGCCGUCGGGUUGUAAAGCCCUUUUGUUGGGAAAGAAAAGCAGCAGGUUAAUACCCCGCUGUUCUGACGGUACCCAAAGAAUAAGCACCGGCUAACUUCGUG